UUUUUUUUUUUUUUUUUUUUUUUGGUCUUUUUAGGGUCUCACUGUUGGCAUACGGAGGUUUCUAGGCUAGGAAUCCAGUCGGAGCUAUAGCUGCCAGCCUACGCCACAGCCACAGCAAUGCCAGAUCCGAGCCUCGUCUGUGACCUACACCAUAGCUCACGGCCACGCCGGAUCCUUAACCCACUGAGCGAGGCCAGGGAUUGAACCUGCAACCUCAUGGUUCCUAGUCGGAGAAGUUUCUGCUGCGCCACAAUGGGAACGCCCCUCUUUUCUUUGUUUUUUAAAUUCUGUCUUGGAAUCAUUAUUGCAUGGUUUUUGUGUGUGCUUUGUCUCCCUUCAUGCUUGUAGAGGUGCUGUGAGAUAGUGUUGUAUAGAAGCAGCGGUGCAUGGCUGUUGCUCUGCGUAGAUGGAGGCCGGGCAAGACCUGUGUGCUCUCUGUUCCACAAUGGCUGCUUCCUGCCUGCCUGUCCCGGGGCAGAGUGGGGGGUGUGUGUGUGGGUAAGUGGGUGCUCUGUGAUCUGGAGGAGGCAGAGAUAAGGGAAAGGGACAAUGGAGAAUAAGAAGCUUGGGGCUCUGAGGAGCUGCGGCCUAGGACGGGUGCGCUGCGGCAGGUGGCUGAGGUCUGGCCUUGAGUGAACUUUUUGCAUCGGAACAAAUAUAUUUGGUCAACUAAGCCCUAGUUCUGCCUUUAAUUCUUGAAUUAGAGGUCAGGCAUUCAUUUUUAAUAGUGUAGGGAAAUUCUGAUAAUGGGAAUAGAUUUCUUUCCUUUUAGUUUUCAAGAAGGAACUGAAAAACUGGAUUACACCCUGAUACUUCUGUAGGGUUGUACAAAAUAAGACAGAAUCUGGAUUCAUUUUGUGAUGGUGACUUUACCAAGGUAGAUAUUAUUAUUCUCCAUCAGAAUAUCUAGAAAUACUCUUCCAUUCUCAUUUUUGUCCUCUUAAACUGCUGGAGUGUGCAGAUAAGACAUUUCACAGGAUUGAGAUUUCCUUUGCUCACUUUGCUAAGCCCUGUGUUCUCUGGCUCGUGCAUGCCUGAUUUUUGCUGAUUGCAGGGUCUUAAUAAUGUUUUAAAUUUUCUUCUUUGUCCAAGGGUAUAACUUUACUGUGGAGGGCAAAAUCAUGAUUCUCCAUGGUCUAGGGCUUUUAGGCACUUCUAAACUCCUAAUUUUCAUUUAUGUGGCUUAGUUUCUCCAUUAGACCAUACCAUUAGGGAGUUGUCAUACAGGAGGAAAAGGCGGCUUGACCUUACGGCAGAAACAUCUAAAUGUUUGACAGAUAAAUUUUUUUGGAAAGAAAGUGUGUUUUAGAUAGAGCAGCUAAGCUUUCAGUGCAUUGUAGGGAGAAAGUCCUCUUGAGGCUUCACCCAGUGGUACCAAAGCUGAGACCUCAUGGAGGGUGGCUCUAGGCUCAGUGAAGAGUAGAUUAGAUAAUUGCUUUUGCCCAGUCAACUCAGGCUUUUUUCUGUCUUUGAAUAAAAUAAGCACCAUUCCCUGACUGCUCUAGGAACCAAAUAAAACUUUCAAAAGAGCUGGUUUAGUAGAAAUAAUGUUUACUUUUCAUAGAUUUGUGUGUAUGUUUUUUAAAAAUUCAGUAAAUGGACACAAGACCGUUUGCUAAAAAGCUUGUAUCCAGAAAGGUGAUUUAGAAUUUUUUGUUCAUUUAUCAAAUACCUGAGUACCUCCCCUGUGUCCUGUGUUCUCACCAGACUCUAUGGGAGACUUGCAGAUGCAUCAUCGGAUGUUGACCCUGGUGACGUGGAGCUUGUCCCUCAGUGGGGAGGCAGAUGCUUGGGGCAGGAGGUCAGGUGCGAUCCAGUGUGGAGGAGAGAGCAGUGACCUCUCUCUGAAGGGGAGGGAAUUAGACAGGGUUGCAUGGAGAAGGAGGCAUUCGAUCUGAAUAUUGAAGUAAAGUCGUUUGGUGGGAAAUGAGCUUUUUCCGUAGGUUUUCUAGCACAGGAGUUACGUGGUUACAGUUGUGCUUUAAGAAAACUAUUUCUGGGAUGUGAUCAAAGAUAGAGACCAGAGACUGAGAGGAACCAAUGCAAAACUAACCUUUCUAAGUGGUAGUGGAAACAGAGGUAGAGUUCAUUGAACUUGGCAGUUGGAGCAAUGCAUGGUAUCAAAUGAGGUUUUGUUUUUUUUUUUUUAAGCCUCAAUAGGUAAUUAGGAGUAUGGCAAUGCCAUUAAAAUUUGGAAACACAGGAGGAGAAACUGAUUAGUAAGAAGAGAGUAGUAAAUAUAAUCUGCCAUUGAGAAAUUGGGUGAUUUUUUUUGUUGUCGUUAGGCCAAUGGGAAUAUUUAAAUAGACCUGGGAAGAAGCCAGGGUUGAAGAUAGGGAUAUUGAGAGUUGGGGCAGUUGGAGCCUUGAGAUGGAAUGAAAUUGCCAAAGUAUUUAGUAUCAAAUGUAUCUUUACCAAGAAUGUCACGUUGCAAAACCUGAAAAUCCUCUAGUUUUAGGACAGGAGUGCUCCAGAAGAGAGAGAGUAUUGUUUAAAGAACUCAAAUCAUUCUUUGAGCUUUUAUUUCUCUCUGGAAUUCUUUCAGUUUGACUCUCAUCUUGGGGAGAUAGUAAAAGCUAGUAGCUUUAAGCGUGCAAACGGAAAGAUAGGGUUUGAAUCCUUGUUCUGCCACCUACCUGCCAUGUAUCCUUGUCAGAGCUAUAGAUCUUCUUGUGCUUCAGUUUAUUCAUCUCUAAGAUGAAGGUGAUAAUGUGUACCUUAUAGGGUUGUUUCUGGAUUAUCCCAUCAUUUAGCCUGCUGCUUGGAGCAUACUAGGUGCUCCAUAAAUGGUAGCUAAUGUUAAUACUAGAUUCUUGCUGAUUCCCCUGCUUCUGAUCUUAAAGGGUACACUACUCCUUUUAACUCUGAAUUUGUACAGGCUUCCCCCUCCCAUUUUUUUCCACUCAACACAGACAGACAGACAGACAGACAGACACACACACACACACACACACACACACACACACACACACACACACACACACAAACCCGCNUGGCUCGGGUUAAGGAUCUGGCGUUGUCACUGCUGUGACUCAGGUUGCUGUUAUGGUGC
rnacentral:lncRNA from 1 species